rnacentral:lncRNA from 1 species
CACAGCGUACUCAGCCACCACCUCGGGUGCCACCUUCGCAGACUCGGACCCUGGGGUUACCAUGUUUGGCUUCAGGAGAGUCCCUUCUAGGAGAACAUGGUGGUCGUUAAGUGCCUUGUAGCAAGCAGCAAGCACCCUCUCUGUAACAUCAGCACAACGUUUGAUGUCGUGUGGCCCAUCAACAAGGAUCUCAGGCUCUACAAUGGGUACCAGGCCAUUCUCCUGGCAGAUAAUAGCAUAGCGGGCCAACCCAUGAGCAUUUAGAUCGAUGGCUAGCUGAGAUGGC